UAGGGAAUCUUCGGCAAUGGGGGCAACCCUGACCGAGCAACGCCGCGUGAGUGAAGAAGGUUUUCGGAUCGUAAAGCUCUGUUGUAAGAGAAGAACGUGUGUGAGAGUGGAAAGUUCACACAGUGACGGUAACUUACCAGAAAGGGACGGCUAACUACGUGCCAGCAGCCGCGGUAAUACGUAGGUCCCGAGCGUUGUCCGGAUUUAUUGGGCGUAAAGCGAGCGCAGGCGGUUUAAUAAGUCUGAAGUUAAAGGCAGUGGCUUAACAAUUGUUCGCUUUGGAAACUGUUAAACUUGAGUGCAGAAGGGAAGAGUGGAAUUCCAUGUGUAGCGGUGAAAUGCGUAGAUAUAUGGAGGAACACCGGUGGCGAAAGCGGCUCUCUGGUCUGUAACUGACGCUGAGGCUCGAAAGCGUGGGGAGCAAACAGG
rnacentral:rRNA from 1 species